UACGUAGGUGGCAAGCGUUAUCCGGAAUUAUUGGGCGUAAAGCGCGCGCAGGUGGUUUCUUAAGUCUGAUGUGAAAGCCCACGGCUCAACCGUGGAGGGUCAUUGGAAACUGGGAGACUUGAGUGCAGAAGAGGAAAGUGGAAUUCCAUGUGUAGCGGUGAAAUGCGUAGAGAUAUGGAGGAACACCAGUGGCGAAGGCGAUUUGCUGGGCUGUAACUGACACUGAGGCGCGAAAGCGUGGGGAGCAAACAGG
rnacentral:rRNA from 1 species